rnacentral:rRNA from 1 species
AGGACGACGCUGGCGGCACGCUUAACACAUGCAAGUCGAACGGAGUUUUUUAACGGAAGUCUUCGGACGGAAGGUAAAAGACUUAGUGGCGAACGGGUGAGUAACGCGUGAGAAACCUGCCUUUCAGUGGGGGACAACAGUUGGAAACGACUGCUAAUACCGCAUAAUGUCAUUUGGGGGCAUCCCCGAGUGACCAAAGCUUUAUGUGCUGAAAGAUGGUCUCGCGUCUGAUUAGCUAGAUGGCGGGUAACGGCCCACCAUGGCGACGAUCAGUAGCCGGUCUGAGAGGACGAUCAGCCACGCUGGAACUGAGACACGGUCCAGACUCCUACGGGAGGCAGCAGCUAAGAAUAUUGGGCAAUGGAGGAAACUCUGACCCAGCCAUGCCGCGUGAAUGAAGAAGGCCUUCGGGUUGUAAAGUUCUUUAGUAGUGAAGAUGAUGACAGUAGCUACAGAAAAGCACCGGCUAACUUCGUG